rnacentral:rRNA from 1 species
UACGUAGGGGGCAAGCGUUGUCCGGAAUCAUUGGGCGUAAAGAGCGUGUAGGCGGCCCGGUAAGUCCGCUGUGAAAGUCCAGGGCUCAACCCUGGGAUGCCGGUGGAUACUGUCGGGCUCGAGUCCGGAAGAGGAGUGUGGAAUUCCUGGUGUAGCGGUGAAAUGCGCAGAUAUCAGGAGGAACACCAAUGGCGGAGGCAGCACUCUGGGACGUGACUGACGCUGAGACGCGAAAGCGUGGGGAGCAAACAGG